GGCGGCCGUAACAAUAACGGUCCUAAGGUAGCGAAAUUCCUUGUCGGGUAAGUUCCGACCUGCACGAAUGGCGUAACGAUGGCGGCGCUGUCUCCACCCGAGACUCAGUGAAAUUGAAAUCGCUGUGACGAUGCAGUGUUCCCGCGGCAAGACGGAAAGACCCCGUGAACCUUCACUACAACUUUACAUUGGACUUUGAAAUUGCUUGUGUAGGAUAGGUGGGAGGCUUUGAAGCGUGGACGCCAGUUCGCGUGGAGCCAACCUUGAAAUACCACCCUGGUAAUUUCGGAGUUCUAACCUCGAUCGGUAUAUCCCGGUCAGGGACAAUGUAUGGUGGGUAGUUUGACUGGGGCGGUCUCCUCCCAAAGAGUAACGGAGGAGUGCGAAGGUAACCUCAGCGCGGUCGGAAAUCGCGCAGUGAGUGCAUAGGCAUAAGGUUGCUUGACUGCAAGACACAAGUCGAGCAGGUACGAAAG
rnacentral:rRNA from 1 species